rnacentral:rRNA from 1 species
GAUGAACGCUCGCUACAGGCUUAACACAUGCAAGUCGCGGGGCAGCAUGGGGGUUGCUUGCAAUCCCCGAUGGCGACCGGCGCACGGGUGAGUAACGCGUAUCCAACCUGCCCUUCACCACGGGAUAACCCGGCGAAAGUCGGACUAAUACCGUAUGUUGUCCAUUGACGGCAUCCGAUUUGGACGAAAGGUUUGGCGGUGAAGGAUGGGGAUGCGUCCGAUUAGCUGGACGGCGGGGUGACGGCCCACCGUGGCGACGAUCGGUAGGGGUUCGGAGAGGAAGGUCCCCCACACUGGAACUGAGACACGGUCCAGACUCCUACGGGAGGCAGCAGUGAGGAAGAUUGGUCAAUGGGCGUAAGCCUGAACCAGCCAAGUAGCGUGCAGGAGGACGGCCCUAUGGGUUGUAAACUGCUUUUAUGCGGGGAUAAAGUGGCCCACGUGUGGGUUUUUGCAGGUACCGCAUGAAUAAGGACCGGCUAAUUCCGUG